rnacentral:tRNA from 1 species
GCCCCCGUCGUCUAAUGGUCAGGACAUCAGACUUUCACUCUGACAACAAGAGUUCGAUUCUCUUCGGGGGUA